rnacentral:rRNA from 1 species
GACGAACGCUGGCGGCGUGCCUAAUACAUGCAAGUCGAGCGCAGGAAAUCGACGGAACCCUUCGGGGGGAAGUCGACGGAAUGAGCGGCGGACGGGUGAGUAACACGUAAAGAACCUGCCCUCAGGUCUGGGAUAACCACGAGAGAUCGGGGCUAAUACCGGAUGGGUCAUCGGACCGCAUGGUCCGAGGAUGAAAGGCGCUCCGGCGUCGCCUGGGGAUGGCUUUGCGGUGCAUUAGCUAGUUGGUGGGGUAAUGGCCCACCAAGGCGACGGUGCAUAGCCGACCUGAGAGGGGGAUCGGCCACACUGGGACUGAGACACGGCCCAGACUCCUACGGGAGGCAGCAGUAGGGAAUCUUCCACAAUGGACGAAAGUCUGAUGGAGCAACGCCGCGUGAACGAUGAAGGCCUCGGGUCGUAAAGUUCUGUUGUAAGGGAAGAACAAGUGCCGCAGGCAAUGGCGGCACCUUGACGGUACCUUGCGAGAAAGCCACGGCUAACUACGUGCCAGCAGCCGCGGUAAAAC